AUUGAACGCUGGCGGCAUGCCUUACACAUGCAAGUCGAACGGCAGCACGGGUGCUUGCACCUGGUGGCGAGUGGCGAACGGGUGAGUAAUACAUCGGAACGUACCUUAUCGUGGGGGAUAACGCAGCGAAAGUUGCGCUAAUACCGCAUACGCCCUGAGGGGGAAAGCGGGGGACCGUAAGGCCUCGCGCGAUUAGAGCGGCCGAUGUCUGAUUAGCUUGUUGGUGAGGUAAAAGCUCACCAAGGCGAUGAUCAGUAGCUGGUCUGAGAGGACGAUCAGCCACACUGGGACUGAGACACGGCCCAGACUCCUACGGGAGGCAGCAGUGGGGAAUUUUGGACAAUGGGGGCAACCCUGAUCCAGCAAUGCCGCGUGAGUGAAGAAGGCCUUCGGGUUGUAAAGCUCUUUUGUCAGGGAAGAAACAGCAGCUCUAACACAGACUGCGAAUGACGGUACCUGAAGAAUAAGCACCGGCUAACUACGUGCCAGCAGCCGCGGUAAUACGUAGGGUGCGAGCGUUAAUCGGAAUUACUGGGCGUAAAGCGUGCGCAGGCGGUUAUACAAGACAGGCGUGAAAUCCCCGGGCUUAACCUGGGAAUGGCGUCUGUGACUGUAUAGCUAGAGUGUGUCAGAGGGGGGUGGAAUUCCACGUGUAGCAGUGAAAUGCGUAGAUAUGUGGAGG
rnacentral:rRNA from 1 species